rnacentral:misc_RNA from 1 species
GAAAUGCGAUAAGUAGUGUGAAUUGCAGAAUUCAGUGAAUCAUCGAAUCUUUGAACGCACAUUGCGCCCCUUGGUAUUCCAUGGGGCAUGCCUGUUCGAGCGUCAUUUGUACCCUCAAGCUCUGCUUGGUGUUGGGUGUUUGUCCCGACUCCGCGCGUGGACUCGCCCCAAAGUGAUUGGCAGCCGGCGUACUGGUCCCGGAGCGCAGCACAUGUCGCGCAAACGAGUGCCUUGGUACGGCGGCGUCCAUAAGCCCCUCUCUCACGCUCUUGACCUCGGAUCAGGUAGGGAUACCCGUUGAACUUAAGC